UACGUAGGGGGCAAGCGUUGUCCGGAUUUAUUGGGCGUAAAGAGCGUGUAGGCGGCCAGACAAGUCUGCUGUGAAAACUCGAGGCUCAACCUCGAGCUGUCGGUGGAAACUGUCUGGCUAGAGUCCGGAAGAGGAGAGUGGAAUUCCCAGUGUAGCGGUGAAAUGCGUAGAUAUUGGGAGGAACACCAGUGGCGAAGGCGGCUCACUGGACCGGAACUGACGCUGAGGCGCGAAAGCGUGGGGAGCAAACAGGG
rnacentral:rRNA from 1 species